rnacentral:rRNA from 1 species
CCUACGGGAGGCAGCAGUGGGGAAUAUUGCACAAUGGGGGCAACCCUGAUGCAGCAACGCCGCGUGGGUGAAGAAGGUCUUCGGAUUGUAAAGUCCUUUUAUUAGAGACGAAAAUGACGGUUUCUCACGAAUAAGCCCCCGCGAACUCCGUGCCAGCAGCCGCGGUAAUACGUAGGGGGCAAGCGUUACUCGGAGUUACUGGGGGUAAAGGGCGCGUAGGCGGGAAAGCAAGCCAGGAGUGAAAGCCUGUGGCUUAACCCCAGAACUGCUUUUGAAACUGCGUGUCUAGAGUGUUGGAGAGGCAGGCGGAAUUCCGGGUGUAGCGGUAAAAUGCGUAGAUAUCAGGAGGAAUACCCGUGGCGAAGGCGACCUGCUGGACAUUAACUGACGCUGAGGCGCGAAAGCGUGGGGAGCAAACAGGAUUAGAUACCCGUGUAGUC